UAGAUUGGAAUUACUUUGAGUUUUUCCAACAAGGGUAUAUUUUGACGAAUCGACAGGCAAAUCGACAGCGCUGUCAGAAAAGCUAUCAGGUAUUGAAUCGAUAGAGCUGAUAGCAUCAAAAUUUCGCAAAAUACGACUAUGAGUACCCGGUUGUUGGGAGAAAGAAGGAUCGUUCGUAACUGUCUCAACCUCCGAAUUGGUAGCAUUAUUUUGUUUAAGUGAACGAAUUGUGGCUACCUCAUCAUCCACAUCUGAAUCUUGUAAUCGUAGUUUAAGAUUUUCUUCAUCCAACUCACCUGAGGGCUGCUUACUAGGAGAAUAAAGAAAUGGUGAAUUUACAGAAGUUAUAGAUGGAUGAUGCUCCGGUUUUGAGAGGUUUUCAUCCUUCUCCUUUUCAGCAUCGAUUCCAAAAUCGUUAGAUAGUGAGUCCGAAAGUUCUUCCUCUGGGUUUUGCUGCGGAGACUCAACAAAUGGAAUAGACAAGCUAUCAGUUGACUUAGUAGUUUGUAAUUGCUUGACAUGAGUGUCAAUAUCUGUUCGAGAAAGCUUUUCAUCAGGACUAGGUAUUUGUUCAAACUUCUCAUUUGAAUGAUUCGAGUGUGAGCUUGUUAUAGAAUACGCAUAACCCUUA